AUAACGGUCCUAAGGUAGCGAAAUUCCUUGUCGGGUAAGUUCCGACCCGCACGAAAGGCGUAAUGAUUUGGGUACUGUCUCGGAGAGAGGCUCGGCGAAAUAGAAUUGUCUGUGAAGAUGCGGACUACCCCCACCAGGACAGAAAGACCCUAUGAAGCUUUACUGUAGCUUGAAAUUGUUGCCGAGUAUAUCGUGUGCAGCUUAGGUGGGAGGCGUUGAUUAUGUAUUUCCGGAUACAUUGGAGCCAUUAGUGAGAUACCACUCUCGAUAUACUCAGCAUCUCAUCAUAUACUUUUAGCAAGUUAUGAGACAGUUUUAGGUGGGCAGUUUGACUGGGGCGGUCGCCUCCCAAAAAGUAACGGAGGCGUACAAAGGUAUCCUCAGGCUGUUUAGAAAUCAGCUGUGGCGUGCAAAGGCAUAAGGAUGCUUGACUGCAAGACCUACAAGUCGAGCAGGGACGAAAGUCGGUCUUAGUGAUCCGACGGUUCCGUGUGGAAGGGCCGUCGCUCAACGGAUAAAAGUUACUCUAGGGAUAACAGGCUGAUCUCCCCCAAGAGUUCACAUCGACGGGGAGGUUUGGCACCUCGAUGUCGGCUCAUCACAUCCUGGGGCUGAAGCCGGUCCCAAGGGUAUGGCUGUUCGCCAUUUAAAGUGGUACGCGAGCUGGGUUUAGAACGUCGUGAGACAGUUCGGUCCCUAUCUGCCGUGGACGUUGGAGAUUUGAGGAAAGCUGCUCCUAGUACGAGAGGACCGGAGUGGACGAACCUCUGGUGUUCGGGUUGUGACGCCAGUCGCAUUGCCCGGUAGCUAUGUUCGGACAGGAUAACCGCUGAAAGCAUCUAAGCGGGAAGCCCCUUCCAAGAUGAGAUCUCCCUGGACCCUCGAGGUCCCUGAAGAGCCGUUCAAGACCAGGACGUUGAUAGGUCGGGUGUGUAAGCGCUGCGAGGCGUUGAGCUAACCGAUACUAAUUGCUCGUGCG
rnacentral:rRNA from 1 species